AUUGAACGCUGGCGGCAUGCUUUACACAUGCAAGUCGAACGGUAACAGGCCGCACGUUGCUGACGAGUGGCGAACGGGUGCGUAAUGCAUCGGAACGUGCCCAGUCGUUGGGAUAACUAACUGAAAGCGUAGCUCAUAACCCAAUCCCUCCUAAGAUGAAAAACGGGGACCGUCAGGCCUCCCCGGCUUUGUGCCGGCCAUGUCAGAUUAGGUAGUUGGUGGGGUAAAGGCUUACCAAGGCAACGAUCUGUAGCUGGUCUGAGAGGACGACCAGCCACACUGGGACUGAGACACGGCCCAGACUCCUACGGGAGGCAGCAGUGGGGAAUUUUGGACAAUGGGCGCAAGCCUGAUCCAGCAAUGCCGCGUGCAGGAAGAAGGCCUUCGGGUUGUAAACUGCUUUUGUACGGAACGAAACGGCUCUGGUUAAUACCCGGGGCUAAUGACGGUACCGAAAGAAUAAGCACCGGCUAACUACGUG
rnacentral:rRNA from 1 species